UGGCGGCAGGCCUAACACAUGCAAGUCGAACGGAGUAGCAAUACUUAGUGGCAUACGGGUGAGUAACAUGUAGGUAUCUGCCCUUUGGCCUGGAAUAACACGAGGAAACUUGUGCUAAUACCGGAUAAGUCUUUACGGAGAAAGCUUAGUGCACCAUUGGAUGAGCCUGCACUUGAUUAGUUUGUUGGUGGGGUAAUGGCCUACCAAGACUUUGAUCAAUAGCUGAUUUGAGAGGAUGAUCAGCCACAUUGGGACUGAGACACGGCCC
rnacentral:rRNA from 1 species